GCAUAUCAAUAAGCGGAGGAAAAGAAACUAACAAGGAUUCCCCUAGUAACUGCGAGUGAAGCGGGAAAAGCUCAAAUUUAAAAUCCCUUCUGGGAGUUGUAAUCUAGAGACGUGUUUUCGGUCGUUGCCUCGGACAAGUCCCUUGGAAUAGGGCGUCAUAGAGGGUGAGAAUCCCGUACUUGCCGAGCUCCCAAUGACUAUGUGAUACACGUUCGAAGAGUCGAGUUGUUUGGGAAUGCAGCUCAAAAUGGGUGGUAAACUCCAUCUAAAGCUAAAUAUUGGCGAGAGACCGAUAGCGAACAAGUACCGUGAGGGAAAGAUGAAAAGCACUUUGGAAAGAGAGUUAAACAGUACGUGAAAUUGUUGAAAGGGAAGCGCUUGAAGUCAGUCGCGUUGCAGGGACUCAGCCGUCAAGGUGCAUUUCUCUGCAACGGGUCAACAUCAAUUUCGGCCGCGGGAAAAGGGCUUGGGGAAUGUGGCAGCUUCGGCUGUGUUAUAGCCUCUUGUCGUACACCGCGGCCGGGAUUGAGGACUGCUAUCACAGGAUGUUGACAAAAUGGCUUUAAGCGACCCGUCUUGAAACACGGACCAAGGAGUCUAACAUGUCUGCGAGUGUUCGGGUGUCAAACCCGUGCGCGUAAUGAAAGUAAACGUAGGUGGGAGGCUUCGGCCGCACCAUCGACCGAUCCGGAUCUCUUGUGAUGGAUUUGAGUAAGAGCAUAUAUGUUGGGACCCGAAAGAUGGUGAACUAUGCCUGAAUAGGGCGAAGCCAGAGGAAACUCUGGUGGAGGCUCGUAGCGAUUCUGACGUGCAAAUCGAUCGUCAAAUUUGGGUAUAGGGGCGAAAGACUAAUCGAACCAUCUAGUAGCUGGUUCCUGCCGA
rnacentral:rRNA from 1 species